rnacentral:rRNA from 1 species
GACGAACGCUGGCGGCGUGCUUAACACAUGCAAGUCGAACGGAAAGGCCCUGCUCUUGUGGGGUGCUCGAGUGGCGAACGGGUGAGUAACACGUGAGUAACCUGCCCUUGACUUUGGGAUAACUUCAGGAAACUGGGGCUAAUACCGGAUAGGAGCUCCUGCUGCAUGGGGGGGGUUGGAAAGUUUCGGCGGUUGUGGAUGGACUCGCGGCUUAUCAGCUGGCUGGGUGGGUAGUGGCUUACCAAGGCUUUGACGGGUAGCCGGCCUGGGAGGGUGGCCGGCCACCAUGGGACUGCGGUACGGCGCAGACUCCUACGGGACGCAGUAGUGGGGAGUAUUGCACAAUGGGCGCAAGUCUGAUACGACAACGCCGCGUUCGGGAUGACGGGCUUCGGGUUGUGAACCGCUUUCGCCGGAGACGAAGCGGUAGUGACGGUAAUGGGUAAAGAAGCCCCGGCUAACUACGUG